rnacentral:rRNA from 1 species
CUCGCUGACGACCGGCGCACGGGUGAGUAACGCGUAUGCAACCUACCUUUGACCAGGGGAUAGCCCGGGGAAACUCGGAUUAAUACCCUAUAACACUACGAAACGGCAUCGUUUUGUAUUUAAAGUUCCGACAGUCAAAGAUGGGCAUGCGUGACAUUAGCUAGUUGGUAAGGUAACGGCUUACCAAGGCAACGAUGUCUACGGGGUCUUAAAGGAUGGUCCCGCACACUGGUACUGAGACACGGACCAG